CUUCCGUAGGUGAACCUGCGGAAGGAUCAUUACCGAGUGCGGGCCCCUCGGGGCCCAACCUCCCACCCGUGUUGCCCGAACCUAUGUUGCCUCGGCGGGCCCCGCGCCCGCCGACGGCCCCCCUGAACGCUGUCUGAAGUUGCAGUCUGAGACCUAUAACGAAAUUAGUUAAAACUUUCAACAACGGAUCUCUUGGUUCCGGCAUCGAUGAAGAACGCAGCGAAAUGCGAUAACUAAUGUGAAUUGCAGAAUUCAGUGAAUCAUCGAGUCUUUGAACGCACAUUGCGCCCUCUGGUAUUCCGGAGGGCAUGCCUGUCCGAGCGUCAUUGCUGCCCUCAAGCCCGGCUUGUGUGUUGGGCCCCGUCCCCCCCGCCGGGGGGACGGGCCCGAAAGGCAGCGGCGGCACCGCGUCCGGUCCUCGAGCGUAUGGGGCUUCGUCACCCGCUCUAGUAGGCCCGGCCGGCGCCAGCCGACCCCCAACCUUUAAUUAUCUCAGGUUGACCUCGGAUCAGGUAGGGAUACCCGUUGAACUUAAGCAUAUCAAUAAGCGGAG
rnacentral:rRNA from 1 species